AGUCAGUCUGCAUGCGGGUCCUCUCGGCUCAUCUCGCGAGGUUUGACAACCGAAAUUUCGUCCGACAUCCGAAGCAAAAAAGUCUCAAAUUUUUUGUUCGUAUACCGAUUUGUUCGAGGACCGGGACGUUCGAAAACCGAGGCUCCACUGUAGUCUACAUUCCAACAUAAACAUACAAUCAAGAUAAUUUGUCAACCCUAACAACCCUCAUCAUGAAAAAUGCUAGAAGAAAUGCAUAAAAGCAACAACGAAAGAGCGACUUAGAAAGUGUGUGGCGAAGUAUAUCUGACACUAUUCCAAUUUUUUCCAAUCUCUGACUUUUACUGGUAUAUUUUUUUAACCAGCUUUGUUAGUGCUGUGCUACCGUGUUGCUGCUUUGUUACCACCGCGUCUCAGUGACUUUUACCGGUCUUUUGUUUUUUCCAGCCCGAUUAGUGAAGUGUUUCUUCCGUGUUUCUGCGGUAUUACUGCCGCGUCACAGGCAGUGUUUGGAAAGAAAUGUUAAGGUACUGUAAUGUCCUGUAUUAUUUGUUGUCGUAUCUGGGCGUGUGAGGGUGGGGCCAGGAGUGAGAAGUGACGUCAUGCGGGUGGGUUGUCCGGUCUGGUUAGCUUGGCAAUCAGUUAGUGUGUGAAGCGCAUGGGUGUGGGUUGUGGCCACCAGCAACUCCUGUUUGAAUGUAUUUUUCUGUUGCCUAUUUUUGUUAUAAUAAAAGCAGCGAUCAAACCGUCUGAACAUCCUUGACGCACUGCAGGGGCAUUACAAUUUCAUCCAAAUUAUGGCUGGUUUGCUAUCCAAUGAAGUUGGGCAUUUGGAUGAAGAAUCCAAGAAACGUUACCGAGAGAAGUUGAACCUUGUUGGCACAACGGAUCCGUACCUUUUACCAAGAAGCAUGCUAAAAUCACCUGAGCAUUUUGCAACAGCCGACCCGCCUGAUCUCUCAUAUUCCAGAUAUUUAUAAUUACCUCGUCGAUUCACCAUCUCCGUACACUGGAAAGGACCUUAAGGCAUACAAGAGUCUGGAUGCCUACAAGUAUUUUACAGCAGGUUUUGUGCAUGAUGGGCUGAUAUGGCAGAUUCCAAACAAGAAUCGAUUUCUUCUCAUGACCAAGGUAAAACACUCUCAACGGAUGAAUGAUCCUUCCCUCAGACCUUGGGUAGCAAUAGCGAAAGAUGGUCAGAUCCUGUGCUGCCACUGUACCUGCAUGGCUGGAUUGGGUGAAACAUGUUCACAUUCAGCAGCAUCCCUGUUCGCCCUGGAGACAUUAAUACGUAUGAAGACGGCCACUUCAUGCACAUCACUACCUUGUCAGUGGCUGAAACCAUCAGCAUCGCACAUAGAAUAUGCUGAAGGAUGCAAUAUCGAUUUUGCCCGUCCAGCCCAGAAACAAAAGUCAGAAGUUUCAACUCCUGAGGAAAGUGCUGCGAGAAAACUGAUGAAUGUUCCUCCACCAACUGAAGAGCAGAAAGCUGCCUUUUACAAGGCUUUGUCUGAAUGUGGUGGAAGACCAGCAAUUUUGAGCAUUGUCCCUGACUAUGCUGACAACUUUGUGCCAAGGGCAGUGUAGCAAAAGCUUCCUGUACCUCUCUUACAGCUGCACGAUUCUGGCAAUAUGAAACUCAGCCCAGAUGAACUUGCAGUAAAAUGCCGGUCAGAGCUGGAAAAGUUACAUUCCAUUACCAGAGAGCAGGUUUGUAUUUUUUUCGCACUUAGUAAUUAAUAUAUAUGUAAUAAAUAAUUUAUUGUUUUCCAACCUGUUACAAAUAAUCUAAUCAUAGUGACAUUUUUUUUAUUAAAAUGCGGUUCAAGAAGAGUCCAGGGGCCAAGCAACAUGAACAACUUGGUUUCAACAAAGAGCUGGGCGAAUUAGUUCAUCAAGUUCUGCACGCAGAUUUUUACACUCUGCAGUGAGGGAAUCCAUUGCUUCCCCAGUGAUAUCCGUCUGUGUGGCAGUAGUCACCAUGCCUUUUCGAAUCUUAGCGUGCACCACAUCUUCACCAGCGGGUAGUUGAUCAUUUUCACAAGGGACAGACUGGGAAAUAUUGACAAGUGCUGCUGCCAAUGCCCUCUUGCGCUGCUUGAGAUUUUGUCUUCUCUCAAAGGUUUUCAUUGAACAUUUGAGUUUUCGUUUGUGAGGUGACUGGGUAUGCUCAAAUAUACUUGGCACAUAGUCUGGGGAUAGUGGAUCUUCACUUUUUGCACCUGAAACAAUUAAACAAUCACAUUAUUUAUAAUGACUACCAUAAAUAAUUAAGCACGUUGUUGAAGGGGAUAUACCCAGUUCAAUUUGUUUCGUAAUGGCAUUUCAUAACUUGACAUAUUAAAAAACUGAAUAGAGUGAAAUCAUUCAGAUACUGUACCUGUCUGUUCAAGUUGCUACCAUUUUUAUUUUUUUGUUUAUUUUUGCAUGAUGCCUCAUCUGAUUAGCUUGAAAACCUAACCAAUACAAAUGUUAACCUUGUGCCAAUGGCUUGAAAACUUUACCAAUGUAGAUUUUACCUUGUGCCAAAUGAAGUA